GACGAACGCUGGCGGCGUGCUUAACACAUGCAAGUCGAACGGAAAGGCCCUGCUUUUGUGGGGUGCUCGAGUGGCGAACGGGUGAGUAACACGUGAGUAACCCGCCCUUGACUUUGGGAUAACUUCAGGAAACUGGGGCUAAUACCGGAUAGGAGCUCCUGCUGCAUGGUGGUGGUUGGAAAGUUUCGGCGGUUGGGGAUGGACUCGCGGCUUAUCAGCUUGUUGGUUGAGUAGUGGCUUACCAAGGCUUUGACGGGUAGCCGGCAUGGGAGGGGGACCAGCGUCAAUGGGACUGAGGUACGGACCAGUCGCCUACGGUAGGCAGUGGGGGAGAAUAUUGCACAAUGGGGGGAAGCCUGUGACAGCAACGCCCCGAGCGGAAUGACGGCUUACGGGUGAUAAACCGCUUUCGCCUGUGACGAAGCGUGAGUGACGGUAAUGGGUAAAGAAGCACCGGCUAACUACGUG
rnacentral:rRNA from 1 species